AUUGAACGCUGGCGGCAUGCUUUACACAUGCAAGUCGAACGGUAACAGGCCGCAAGGUGCUGACGAGUGGCGAACGGGUGAGUAAUGCAUCGGAACGUGCCCAGUCGUGGGGGAUAACGCAGCGAAAGCUGCGCUAAUACCGCGUACGAGCUAUGGAUGAAAGCGGGGGACCGUAAGGCCUCGCGCGAUUGGAGCGGCCGAUGUCAGAUUAGGUAGUUGGUGGGGUAAAGGCUCACCAAGCCAACGAUUUGUAGCUGGUCUGAGAGGACGACCAGCAACACUGGGACUGGGACACGCCCCAGACCCCUACGGAGGCAGCAGUGGGGAAUUUUGGACAAUGGGCGCAAGCCUGAUCCAGCAAUGCCGCGUGCAGGAAGAAGGCCUUCGGGUUGUAAACUGCUUUUGUACGGAACGAAACGGUCCUGGUUAAUACCCGGGGCUAAUGACGGUACCGUAAGAAUAAGCACCGGCUAACUACGUGCCAGCCGCCGCAGUAACAC
rnacentral:rRNA from 1 species